GGAUUAGAUACCCUGGUAGUCCAUGCUGUAAACGAUGGAUGCUAGGUGUUGGGGUUUAUACGCCUCAGUGCCGAAGCUAACGCAUUAAGCAUCCCGCCUGGGGAGUACGACCGCAAGGUUGAAACUCAAAGGAAUUGACGGGGGCCCGCACAAGCGGUGGAGCACGUGGUUUAAUUCGAUGCUAACCGUAGAACCUUACCUGGGCUUGACAUCCGUAGGAGUUCCUAGAGAUAGGAAUGUACUCAUCUUUGAUGAGAGCUAUGAGACAGGUGCUGCAUGGCUGUCGUCAGCUCGUGCCG
rnacentral:rRNA from 1 species